UGCGUAGGCGGGGCAAUUAGUCAGUGGUGAAAUCCUGCGGCUUAACCGUAGAACUGCCAUUGAUACUGUUGCCCUUGAGUAUAGUUGAGGUGGGCGGAAUGUGUAAUGUAGCGGUGAAAUGCAUAGAGAUUACACAGAACACCAAUUGCGAAGGCAGCUCACUAAACUAUAACUGACGCUGAGGCACGAAAGCGUGGGGAGCGAACAGGAUUAGAUACCCUGGUAGUCC
rnacentral:rRNA from 1 species